UCUCCGUUGGUGAACCAGCGGAGGGAUCAUUACAGGACUCGCAAGACUCCUACAACCCUGUGAACUUAACUAUAAGCACGUUGCUUCGGCGGGUGUCUCGGAGAGGGUUCUCCCUCCCCGAGACGCUAAACCCGCCGGCAGCCUACUAUACUCUGUCUCUUUGCGUUGGCAUCUCGAGUACAAUCAAACAAGUUAAAACUUUCAACAACGGAUCUCUUGGUUCUG
rnacentral:misc_RNA from 1 species